UUGCCUGUAUUAACCAUAUAUUUCUUUUAUCUUUUUGUAAGACCAAAGAAGAUGUCGGAUCUAUUGUACCUGUUUCAGAUUUUAACAUUCUUUUGUAGUGCAACGAUGUUACCCAAUUCGCCAACUGGGUUCGUUAAGGAUACAUCUUCUGGCUCUGCCCCCCCAACUAGGCACUGAUUUGGGAUUUGAAAUUUGAUCAUAAUCAUAAUAUAUUUUGUGGAUAAAUUUAGGAAGAAUAUAUUUGGUUAAGCAUAACAUAAUAUUUCUUAGGUCUUGUUGUUUUUAUAGAGAGUUUUGGAACGGUUUUGCUUUAGAAUUUUAUUUCCUUUUUAAGUAACAUGACCUUUUCUCAUUCACAGCUCAAGUUGGAAACUGCAAAACAUUUCAGUGCAUUUUUUAUAACAUGUAAUUUGAAGUAUUAUCACGCUUUUUCCAAACGAAAUAUAGUGGAAUAGGAAAAAUAAACUCAGAAAUAAAGUAUUUUAUUUUAACCUUUAUCUAAUUAUGGAAACAAUGGUGUCCUUAAACACUUUUUUGUGAUGAUUGAGAGCUAUUAUGAUACAGCUAUUAAUUUUUUGAAGGGGACAUGUUUUUUUAUGUAGUAUUGGUAAUUACUUGUAUCAAUUUAAUACUCUAAUUUAUUUUUGGGUUGUAAUUUCACUUUUAUUUUUAUUUUUGCUUAAAACUUAAUUGGCAUGGUUAAGGUAUCAAAAAUGUUAGCGAAUAUUAUUUUGUAAUGAUCAAGAUUUGUAAGUUUUCUUUAUUCAUAGACGCUUAUUAUUUAAAAAACCUUUAUCUAACCAAUUUAGAAAGAAAGAAAGAAAAAAGUUAGAAUCGUCAAAAUUUUAUGUCUAGUCAAUUUGUGGAGAAUUUUUUUUGGUUAGGAUCUCUUUUAACAUUUGUAUGAAUAGGAUUUGCAUUUAGGAAGACUAAAGUUAUUCGACGUGUCAUCUAACGAAUCUUUAUCUGUUAUUUUUAAAUAAUAAUAAAAGGAAUGGACAGAGACUUAAGACUACAGAAUAUGAUUAUUAGCCUAAGAGAAAUAUGGUUCACCAGCUACACACGUGUGAAAUGAAAGUUGCUACAUUUUUCCAAUUGAGAUCGUUGUGUUAAUGUUAUAUUGGGUAUUACUAUUUCACACUAGUAGUGCCUAGCAUUUUUUGUAGGUGGCGUUUUACGAUUAGUUAAUAAUAUUGCCUAAGACUCGAUAUUUAAUUACACCAAUAACGAUAUGACAUCAAGGAAGAUGUUAGGUAUCAAUGGUACCUUUUAAUAAUUCUCGUUAUAUUAUUCAAGUGAGAAACAUUAGAAGAUGGUGUUUUAACAAAUAUAAUAGGUGUUAUAUCAGUAUAAUUUUAAUUUGAUAAAAGUCUAAUUAGGAUUUUUGCGUCAAAAUUUUUCCUUAACAAUAUUGAUAUUGUUGGAUUAAAAAAUUUUCUUCUAAUUUUACUAAUAGAUGUUUGACGUGAAUGAAAUUUCAGAAACACAGUUUGAUAUAGGUCAAAGUUUGGUUAUAAUUUGAUACAUAUCAAAGUUUGGGGAUACGAUCUGAUAAAUGUCAAAGUUCGAGAGUAGUACAUGGAGAAUCGUCACGUUAGUAAAAUUGAACGGAAGUCUUUAAAUCAAAAAUCUUAAUAAUUUGGAGAGAACUUUUAACAGCCUAAAAAAUUUUAAGGGUAUAAUUUAACACAUGUUAAAAUUUGAGGGGUAAAAUUCUUAAUUAGCCUUUAAUAUAUCACUAUAGAGUCUCGCUAAUUACAUAUAAAGUUUUACUUCCUGUGGUAAUAAUCAAUUUAAGUAUUUAAUAAUAAUGUCUUCUAUAUAAAUAUAAAUAGUAUAACAAUCUAAUUUGGUAACAACAUAAAGAAAGAGUGAAGUUUAAAAUUUUCUUUCUGGUCAUGCCAAUUUAGUUCAAAUUAAAGUUCGCCCCAUUAUUGAUCUUCUUGGUGGCAGUAGAACUAGUUCAGGUUCAAAGCUCUCCAAGUCGUGGAGAUGACAGUUAUUCUCUCCACCAUUAAUAACCAUAAAAACAAAUGUAUAUGUUGACAGUAAAAACUCGUUAAUUAUUUAUAGUAGACAAUUAAAGCUUAAAUAUGAGAUCAAGAUUGGAGAUGAAAUCUUAAGAAACUUAGAGACAUGUAGAGCUUUAAUGGUGAAAAUAAGUAUUCUAUUACUUUCAUAUGCUUGUAGUUAUAAUGAUUUUUCACUCCCUCUCUCACAUAUGGCAAUGAAGUAUUUAUAGGCUCUAUUGACUUUGGGUACAAAAGUGGUAAUAGGAGACACCCUACUACUAGGUACUCUUAUAAGUGCAGGUAGCAGGGUACUAACGAUCGAGGUGUCAGGUGUUCCAGGGUGGUGGCGAUACCACUACUUUUUAGAUGGAGAGGUCAGGAGGGUACAUAUUGUGGGAUGGUGUUAUUAAGCUAAAUUUAGUUUACGUUUUAAGUGUCGUGAUCAUUGUCUUUUUAAUCGAUUGUGUCUUUUUGGAGAUGAUUUAUUCUUGUUUUACUUGAUUUCAGGUUUAAGCAUAUGCUUGGGCAUUUUUGGAGAGGAUUGUGAAGAAAAUAUGCUAAAAUAAAAGUUUAUUCAAAUUUGUGCUGAAAUUAUAUUAGGGUCGCGACGAGAAACAAAGCACAGAUUGGGAGUCAAAUUCCCAAACUGAAUUAUGGCCGCAACGUGCGCCUUUACAGAAACUUUGAAAUUUCCCUAAUCAAAGUGGCACCACAGUGCAAGUGUCUGUACGACAUACGUUUUUCUUAAAUUUUGAAGGGAAUUUUUGGAAUUUCAACAAGAAAAUGAAUUAGGUGAUGUUGGAGGAUGAAAAUACUCACCAAAAUAAUGUUUUCCUAGAGUUUUGAAAAUCCAUGAAGAUCCAAAAUUUGAGAUUCGGCACUACAGUGAAGGUUAGAGGUUCGUUGCAGCGAGCUUAGAAGAAAUUCACUGGCAAGGGGUUAUGGCUACGACGAGGAGAUUGUGGCUGCGGCAAAAGGUGAAGCUCGCCGUGACGAAGACAUGAUUCUUGCUUUUCAAAAUUUUAUCUUUUUCUUUAAAUUGUAGAUCUUUGAGGGGAUAUAUAUAGGACCUUUAGGGUUCGAUUUUUAGCACCUUUGAACUGCGUUUUUGAGAGAGAAACUCAAAUAAAGAGAAAAAGAAAAAGAAAGAGAUUGCGGAACCAAUUAUUUUUCAUCAUUGUUUUUUAUUCUUCUUAAUGUCAUACUUUUAUUAUGAUUUC